AAACCAACAGGGAUUGUCUCAGUAACGGCGAGUGAAGCGACAAAAGCUCAAAUUUGAAAUCUGGCGCCUUCGGUGUCCGAGUUGUAAUUUGAAGAAGGUAACUUUGGUUUUGGCUCUUGUCUAUGUUCCUUGGAACAGGACGUCACAGAGGGUGAGAAUCCCGUGCGAUGAGAUGCCCAAUUCCAUGUAAAGUGCUUUCGAAGAGUCGAGUUGUUUGGGAAUGCAGCUCUAAGUGGGUGGUAAAUUCCAUCUAAAGCUAAAUAUUGGCGAGAGACCGAUAGCGAACAAGUACAGUGAUGGAAAGAUGAAAAGAACUUUGAAAAGAGAGUGAAAAAGUACGUGAAAUUGUUGAAAGGGAAGGGCUUGAGAUCAGACUUGGUAUUUUGUAUGUCUUGCUUUCGGGUAGGGCCUCUGCAGUUUAUCGGGCCAGCAUCAGUUUGGAUGGUAGGAUAAUGACAUUGGAACGUAGCACUGCUUCGGUGGUGUGUUAUAGACUUUGUUGAUACUGCCUGUCUAGACUGAGGACUGCGUCUUUUGACUAGGAUGCUGGCAUAAUGAUCCUAAGCCAC
rnacentral:rRNA from 1 species